UCCAGACUCCUACGGGAGGCAGCAGUGGGGGAUAUUGCACAAUGGGGGAAACCCUGAUGCAGCGACGCCGCGUGGGUGAAGAAGCGCCUCGGCGCGUAAAGCCCUGUCAGCAGGGAAGAAAAUGACGGUACCUGAAGAAGAAGCCCCGGCUAACUACGUGCCAGCAGCCGCGGUAAUACGUAGGGGGCAAGCGUUAUCCGGAAUUACUGGGUGUAAAGGGUGAGUAGGCGGUAUGUCAAGUCAAGGGUGAAAUCCCCGCGCUCAACGUGGGAACUGCCUUUGAAACUGGCAAACUGGAGUGUGUGAGAGGAUAGUGGAAUUCCAGGUGUAGGAGUGAAAUCCGUAGAUAUCUGGAGGAACAUCAGUGGCGAAGGCGACUAUCUGGCACAUAACUGACGCUGAGGAGCGAAAGCGUGGGUAGCAAACAGGAUUAGAUACCCCGGUAU
rnacentral:rRNA from 1 species